rnacentral:rRNA from 1 species
GACAGAGGGUGCAAACGUUGUUCGGAAUUACUGGGCGUAAAGCGCGCGCAGGCGGCUCUUUAAGUCUGACGGUGAAAUGCCGGGGCUCAACCCCGUGCCCGCCGGAGAUACUGGGGAGCUGGAGACGAGUAGAGGCAAGCGGAAUUCCGGGUGUAGCGGUGGAAUGCGUAGAGAUCCGGAAGAACACCGGAGGCGAAGGCGGCUUGCUGGGCUCGGUCUGACGCUGAGGCGCGAAAGCGUGGGGAGCGAACAGG